AUACUUGCCUGGUGCCGUGGACUCGUUGAUCACCGAGGACGAGUCUCCAGGGCGAGGCGCGGGCACUGCAAAGCGCUCGCGUUGACCACUACCACUACCCCAAACUGGGGCAGAUGGGGCAUGCAAAUGGC
rnacentral:snRNA from 1 species